rnacentral:rRNA from 1 species
GGAAGUGGGGAUGACGUCAAGUCCUCAUGGCCCUUAUGGUAGGGCUUCACACGUCAUACAAUGGUCGGUACAGAGGGUUGCCAAGCCGCGAGGUGGAGCCAAUCCUUAAAGCCGAUCGUAGUCCGGAUCGUAGUCUGCAACUCGACUACGUGAAGUCGGAAUCGCUAGUAAUCGCAGAUCAGCAUGCUGCGGUGAAUACCGGUUCCCGGGUCUU